UACAGAGGUCUCAAGCGUUGUUCGGAUUCAUUGGGCGUAAAGGGUGCGUAGGUGGCGCCAUAAGUCAGGUGUGAAAUCUCGGGGCUCAACCCCGAAACUGCACUUGAUACUGUGGUGCUGGAGUACUGGAGAGGAGAUUGGAAUUUACGGUGUAGCAGUGAAAUGCGCAGAUAUCGUAAGGAAGACCAGUGGCGAAGGCGAAUCUCUGGACAGUUACUGACACUGAGGCACGAAGGCCAGGGGAGCAAACGGG
rnacentral:rRNA from 1 species